AUACGGAGGGGGCAAGCGUUGUUCGGAAUUACUGGGCGUAAAGGGCGCGUAGGCGGACGAUCAAGUCAGGGGUGAAAGGCCUGGGCUCAACCUGGGAAUUGCCUUUGAAACUGAUUGUCUAGAGUCCGGAAGAGGAUGGCGGAAUUCCCAGUGUAGAGGUGAAAUUCGUAGAUAUUGGGAAGAACACCGGUGGCGAAGGCGGCCAUCUGAUCCGGAACUGACGCUAAGGCGCGAAAGCGUGGGGAGCAAACAGGAUUAGAAACCCCGGUAGUCC
rnacentral:rRNA from 1 species